GUUAUUUAGGGCGCAUGGUGGAUGCCUUGGCAUGCUGAGCCGAUGAAGGACGUGAAAGGCUGCGUUAAGCCUCGGGGAGUUGUCAAUUGAGCGUUGAUCCGAGGAUGUCCGAAUGGGGAAACCUGGCACCUGUUAUGGGGUGUUACCCUUCAGUGAAUUCAUAGCUGUUGUGGGGGUUACGCGGGGAAGUGAAACAUCUCAGUACCCGUAGGAGAAGAAAAUAAUAAUGAUUCUGCUAGUAGUGGCGAACGAACGUGGAUGAGGCUAAACCGUGUGCAUGUGAUACCUGGUAGGGGUUGUGUGUGCGGUGUUGUGGGCCCUGAUGAGGAUGGCUACUGACGUCCUGCCCGCGCAUUGUUGUUAGGUGAAGUGGUGUGGAAACGCCUGCCGUAGAAGGUGAUAGUCCUGUAGCUGAAGAUGAUGGUGUGUGGGUUGUUGGGUUGCCCGAGUAGCAGCGGGCUCGUGGAAUCUGCUGUGAAUCUGCCGGGACCACCCGGUAAGCCUAAAUACUCAGUGUGACCGAUAGUGGAUAGUACCGUGAGGGAAUGGUGAAAAGUACCCCGGGAGGGGAGUGAAAUAGUUCCUGAAACCAUGU
rnacentral:rRNA from 1 species